CUUGAGCACCUUCGAUCUUCAUGAAGUUCGAAUUUUCGCACGCCUGCUGCCAUUCAUAUUUUUACACCUAUUUAAGGUAUAACGUUUCUGUAUAUCAGUGUAUACAGGCUGUAUAUCAGCCUGUUUUUCAACUUUCGAGAGUUGAAAAAUUCUUUUCAGCAGCUUACUUUACUGCCAUCAACCCAGGUUUCGAACUAGGCCUCCUGUACAUCUUUUGAUAUGUAUAUCACGGUAUAAACUGUGUAUAUGGUUGGUAUACAGCUUCUCAAUAUAUGCCACUGUAAUUUCCAGCAAUUUUCCAAGUUCUGGUGAACCAGAAUCAAUCUCCAGCAGUGCAUUUUCUGCUGUUCUUCCGACCUGUACACCUUUGAGAGGGUUCUAUGACUCGAAGAAGACAUUCUGAGCCUUUAUGGCUCGAUGAGGAAGUGUAGUGAGAUGGAAUAAAGUCCAUGAGGACUCGAGGAGGGUUUCACAUGCAAUAAAACAUACAAAAGAUUAGCACUUAAAGCGAUAAACUAAUAGAAAGUGUCUUGAACAAGACGAAGAUAAAAGAUGAACUACUUGGAGAAAUGAGUUAGAGGGGGAUAAAUGACUUCAAAAAUAAUUCCGAAUGAUAUUAAGAAAUAAAAUUUCACAACCAAUAGGAUAAAUAACAGGGGCAAGCAAUGCAUGUACACAUAUUAAUGAAUUUGUCAUACGCAUGGGAGUACACCAUUGCUAAUUGUCAAAUAUGCACAGUAAGCAUGCCAUACUCUGUUAAUCAAAGCAUAUCAAUUGGCAAGACCUAUUGAUGCCAAAUGCAAAAAAGAACUUAUUUCCAAACUACCAUGUUACACAUCACUCCACCUAAAAGACAAUUUAACAAUGCCGAGACACAAACAAUUGAUCAAGGAAAAAUAAAAAAAAAACUUGAAAUGGGAGACAGAACAUAGCUGAAACAGAGUAACCAACACAAUCACAACCAUACCAAUUUUAACUACAUGUUCUGAAUAAGCAGACAGC
rnacentral:misc_RNA from 1 species